CUUUAACGGAGAGUUUGAUCCUGGCUCAGGAUGAACGCUGGCGGCAUGCCUAAUACAUGCAAGUCGUGCGGGGGUCUCCGGACCCUAGCGGCGA
rnacentral:rRNA from 1 species